rnacentral:rRNA from 1 species
AUGAACGCUGGCGGCGUGCUUAACACAUGCAAGUCGAACGAAGCACUUUAACCUGAUUCUUCGGAUGAAGGUUUUUGUGACUGAGUGGCGGACGGGUGAGUAACGCGUGGGUAACCUGCCUCAUACAGGGGGAUAACAGUUAGAAAUGACUGCUAAUACCGCAUAAGACCACGGAGCCGCAUGGCUCAGUGGGAAAAACUCCGGUGGUAUGAGAUGGACCCGCGUCUGAUUAGGUAGUUGGUGGGGUAGCGGCCUACCAAGCCGACGAUCAGUAGCCGACCUGAGAGGGUGACCGGCCACAUUGGGACUGAGACACGGCCCAAACUCCUACGGGAGGCAGCAGUGGGGAAUAUUGCACAAUGGGGGAAACCCUGAUGCAGCAACGCCGCGUGAGCGAAGAAGUAUUUCGGUAUGUAAAGCUCUAUCAGCAGGGAAGAAAAUGACGGUACCUGACUAAGAAGCACCGGCUAAAUACGUGCCAGCAGCCGCGGUAAUACGUAUGGUGCAAGCGUUAUCCGGAUUUACUGGGUGUAAAGGGAGCGUAGACGGCUGUGUAAGUCUGAAGUGAAAGCCCGGGGCUCAACCCCGGGACUGCUUUGGAAACUAUGCAGCUAGAGUGUCGGAGAGGUAAGUGGAAUUCCCAGUGUAGCGGUGAAAUGCGUAGAUAUUGGGAGGAACACCAGUGGCGAAGGCGGCUUACUGGACGAUGACUGACGUUGAGGCUCGAAAGCGUGGGGAGCAAACAGGAUUAGAUACCCUGGUAGUCCACGCCGUAAACGAUGACUACUAGGUGUCGGGGAGCAAAGCUCUUCGGUGCCGCAGCAAACGCAAUAAGUAGUCCACCUGGGGAGUACGUUCGAAAGAAUGAAACUCAAAGGAAUUGACGGGGGCCCGCACAAGCAGUGGAGUAUGUGGUUUAAUUCGACGCAACGCGAAGAACCUUACCAGGGCUUGACAUAUACAGGAAUAUAUAAGAGAUUAUAUAGCUCUUCGGAGUCUGUAUACAGGUGGUGCAUGGUUGUCGUCAGCUCGUGUCGUGAGAUGUUGGGUUAAGUCCCGCAACGAGCGCAACCCUUAUCUUCAGUAGCCAGCAAUUCGGAUGGGCACUCUGGAGAGACUGCCAGGGAUAACCUGGAGGAAGGUGGGGAUGACGUCAAAUCAUCAUGCCCCUUAUGAGCAGGGCUACACACGUGCUACAAUGGCGUAAACAAAGGGAAGCGAGCCUGCGAGGGUAAGCAAAUCUCAAAAAUAACGUCUCAGUUCGGAUUGUAGUCUGCAACUCGACUACAUGAAGCUGGAAUCGCUAGUAAUCGCGAAUCAGCAUGUCGCGGUGAAUACGUUCCCGGGUCUUGUACACACCGCCCGUCACACCAUGGGAGUUGGUAACGCCCGAAGUCAGUGACCCAACCGUAAGGAGGGAGCUGCCGAAGGUGGGACCGAUAACUGGGGUG